rnacentral:rRNA from 1 species
GCAAAACGCGAAGAACCUUACCCACCUUUGACAUGUACGGAAUCCUUUAGAGAUAGAGGAGUGCUCGAAAGAGAGCCGUAACACAGGUGCUGCAUGGCUGUCGUCAGCUCGUGUCGUGAGAUGUUGGGUUAAGUCCCGCAACGAGCGCAACCCUUGCCAUUAGUUGCUACGAAAGGGCACUCUAAUGGGACUGCCGGUGACAAACCGGAGGAAGGUGGGGAUGACGUCAAGUCCUCAUGGCCCUUAUAGGUGGGGCUACACACGUCAUACAAUGGCUGGUACGAAGGGUUGCCAACCCGCGAGGGGGAGCUAAUCCCAUAAAGCCAGUCGUAGUCCGGAUCGCAGUCUGCAACUCGACUGCGUGAAGUCGGAAUCGCUAGUAAUCGUGGAUCAGAAUGUCACGGUGAAUACGUUCCCGGGUCUUGUACACACCG